AUGGGGAAUUUCCGGAGGAGAGGCCCGGCGGCGCUCUUCCUGCUCUGGUUCCUGGCGACGGGCUUCGAGCUGUGCGCGGCCCUGAAUCACGAAGGUCUUGCGCUUCUGAGGUUUAGGGAGAUGGUAGAGGCUGAUCCGCGCGGUGCUCUGGCGGAUUGGGAUGAAGGGCACGCUAGCCCUUGUUCUUGGUUCGGCGUGCGGUGCUCGGAUGAUGGCCGGGUCGUAGGCCUGAACUUGUCAAAUCUUGGUCUGAAAGGCGUGUUAUCUCCUGAGAUUGGACAGCUUAUUAAUAUGCAUUCUCUUGUACUGCACAAGAACUUGUUCUAUGGUAUUAUCCCUAGAGAGAUAGGAGAUUUACGGGAGUUGAAGGUGUUGGAUCUGGGGUACAAUAACUUCAAUGGAUCAAUUCCAUCAGAGCUAAUAAACAUUUUAUCCCUGGAGUUUAUCUUUCUUAAAGGAAACAGACUUUAUGGUGAUUUACCUCUUGAGCUAAAUGAGCUCAUCAGUCUUUGUGAGUCUCAGGUUCACCAAGGCAGGGCUUUGUCAAAUAGGAUGCCCACUGCAAGUUAUUCACUAUGUAGGGGUAAGGACAGCGCUACAACCAGAAGACUUCUAGCAGGCAAACAAAAUCAUUCUCCAAAGAACGAGAUGCUUGGUUCUGAAAAUUCUGUAUUAGAACCAUCAGAUGUGAGCCCUUUUUUUAAGCUCCAUGAACCCCACAAGGAUCCAACACCACCAGUUUCGCCCCAUGCCCUGACACCACCUCCUCCUUCUGAACCUGCUCCUUCCCUUGCCUCUCUUGCAUCUCCCAACAAAAACCAAACCGCAAGCAAAGGGAGCAAGAGCAAGAGCGGGAAGAGCAAUGUGACGAUAUAUGCAUUAAUAGGAGCAGCGAUUUGUUUUGUGGUUCUAUCCUUGUCAGCUGCAAUAUUUAUUUGCUACCGCCGUGGGAAGGCUAGCAGUGUUGUGCCCAUGUCUUCAAGUAGGGAACUGCAGACCACUAUCCUGGGAGGCAUAGCUUUAUUCAGACGGUCAGAACUUGAAACAGCCUGUGAAGAUUUCAGUAAUGUAAUCGGUACGCUACCUGGAUGUACAUUGUAUAAAGGAACUCUCCCAUGUGGAGCUGAAAUAGCUGUUGCGUCUACACUGAUAAAACAUGCCUACGGGUGGUCUGCUAUAGCCGAAGCACAAUUCAAGAAUAAGGUUGAAAUGUUGUCGCGGGUGAACCAUAAGAAUUUCCUGAAACUUGUGGGUUACUGUGAAGACGAAAAACCAUUUACCCGGAUGAUGGUGUUUGAGUAUGUUUCAAAUGGAUCACUAUUUGAGCACUUGCACGUUAAUGAGGCAGAGCACUUGAACUGGCAGUCGCGCCUGCGGAUGGCGAUGGGAGUAAUAUACUGCCUUUACCACAUGUACCAGCAGUAUCCUCCUGUGAUCCUAAGGAAUCUGAACUCGUCGUGCAUAUACCUGACCGAAGACAACGCUGCAAAGAUUUCAGACAUCAGUUUCGGCGAUGACUGGAAAGAAGGCGAGGACGAAUUCGAUGAGCCUGAAGAGUGCACCAUAGUGUAUAGGUUUGCCUUGCUUCUGCUUGAGACGAUCUCUGGAAGGCGUCCGUUCUCCAAUGACACCGGCCUCCUGAUUCUGUGGGCGCACCGGUACCUCACCGGCGAAAAGCCCUUGACGGGUAUGGUCGACCCGACACUGAGAUCAGUCCCCUUGGAGCAGGUAGCGGCGCUGACAGAGCUGGUGAAAUUGUGCAUAAGGGAUGACCCCUGGCGGAGGCCGUCGGUGGGGGAGGUCACCCGGCGGAUGCAAGAGAUCACUGGGUUCUCUCAGGAUCAGUCGACCCCAAGGAAUAGCGCAUUGUGGUGGGCUGAGCUUGAAAUCCUAACGGUAUAG
rnacentral:rRNA from 1 species